GUUCCCUGGUCCAGGCAGCAGUGACUCAGUCGCCGCCCUCGGUGUCAGCGAACCCGGGAGACACCGUCCAGAUCACCUGCUCUGGGAUUAGCAGCGGCUAUGCUGUUGGCUGGGUGAAGCAGAAGGUCCCUGGCAGUGCCCCUGUCACUGUGAUCUAUCUGAACAACAAGAGACCCUCGGGCAUCCCUUCGCGAUUCUCCGGUUCUGCGUCUGGCUCCACGGCCACGUUAACCAUCACUGGGGUCCGAGCCAAGGACGAGGCUGUCUAUUACUGUGGUGGCAAUGACAGCAGUGCUGAUCAGGGUCAAGGUGAAGGAGGAUGUGAUGAGCAGUUCCCCCUCAAGGAGCCAGGAGGGAGCUGA